UCUGUUUCAAUGGAUGAAUAAGCAAAUGAAUGAAUGGGACUAAUGUCCUGGGUCUAUAGUUCAAAACUUGCCUUCUCUAGAAGCCUCCUGGGAUUGCGUCUCCCCUGUCCUUUGUGUCUUCCCAUUCCCGCCUUUGGUCUGCUCUUCCUGUCCGGAUUUUUCCCUGCUGUUGCUCCUGGAUGCUUUCAUAUCGGUGUUUUCAACCACAACCAAAGGCAGAGACAGUGUCUUCUCACUGUCCCAUGUGGCCCUGUGACACCCUCUCCAGUGUCCUGCGCACAGCAGCCUAACUGACGCUCACCAGCUAACUAGCCUCGGGGAUCUGAGCUGGACGAGGCCCAGGGCGGUCAGAUGGUCCCUCUAGGUUGUCCAGCCCUUCUGGGGAAAGAGCUUGGACCCAUGGGUGGCCAAGGCUACACGUCAUGACUCAGACCUGGGGCUUCCUUACACGUGCAAGGCUGAUGUUUGAAAACCAUUGAUGUCCGCUCAUUCACUGGUUCUCUCCUAGAUGCCUUGGGCUCUUGAUGUGCCAAGCGCUGUGCUUGCUUUGGCUCUGAGCCGGAGGUGGUGUCGUUCCUUUGCCUCAAGGAGGUCACAAACCAAUCAAGAAAUUGAGAUAUUUGCCAGAGCAGCCUGUCAGCGCAGGAGCCACAGUUAGCCCCAGGCUAUGGCUGUGGCUUGCCUGUGGUCCUGGGUCGCAGGGAAGAGGGAGAGUGGAGGCCAUGCCCUGUGUCAACACCCCUUGCUCCAUCACCCCUUGCUCAAGGGCACAGAGCCACAGACAGCAGCUGGCCAUGAGAGGGCCAUCGUCUGCACGCACACGCUGGGCUCGGACAUGGGCCACUCUGGAGGCCCUGCAGUGACUCAGGGCACAGCUGGGUCCAGAACCCAGGGAUCCUGACUCCCACCCCUGUGCUCUCGCUCAUAGAUCUGCCACCUCGUGUCACCUUUGCCGGGCCAGUACCUUCUCGGGGUCAGUACCUCAGGCUCUGGGCAGGGUGCUGGACACAGCCAUGGUGGUCCUUACCAGGGUCCCCCUUCUCAUGCAAUGACAGAUGGGCUUUGAAAGGAUGGCCAAGCCUGAGACCCUCGUUGGAAGGAGGUAAGGUGUGCACUGAAGCCUAACGAUCUGGACAGAGAGGACGUCCACCUGAAAGCAACGUCACUCCUGCAGCCCUGCGUGCACAGUAGCGUUUCCAUUGCGCUCACGUGGGGCGAGCCUGCCAGAGGGGAGACGGAGGGAAAAGGGCCAGCAGGAGCCCCUGCCUGGGCUGGGCUGCCCACUGUGGGUCUGCCUGGCCAGACUCUUGCACUCAGCUCCCAGGCCUUGUUUUCCCCAACAGCUUCAGGGUGCGAAGUCCAUGGGGGUGAUUUUGUCAUCUCUUCCCAGGGUCCGGGUUAAUGAUUAUCUAUUGGGUCACCAAGAGAUCCAGAUGUUGGUGUGUGUGAAGAUGGGGGGUGGAUGGGUGGGAGGUGGUGACAGAGGGUGGCCCGGCCCGAGGAGGAGGCUGGAGGCUUCCUUUGAACAUGCCCUUGCAGAUGCUGCCUCCUCCCGGGAACUCUCCUGGCUGGCUUUGGGCCAUGAGAAAGGACCGGCAUCUUUAAUGGCUAAUAGCUCAGGGAACUUGUGAGCCCCAAGUGGAGAGUAAAGUGUAGGGUGCUCCCCUCAGCUCUGACAGGAGAGCCAUCUGGGAGAAGAAAGAAUAUGCCAGGCUCAGGAUUUCUGCAGCGGGGAAUGGAGGCUCUCACAGCCAAACGGGAUGUGGGGGCAUGUCUUGGACCUCAGGAGGUCAGGCUGUGGCUAGGGCAGGCCCUGGGACUCCUCACUGUCCCCUCCCUCCACACUCAUGUCCCGCCAGACUCGGAAGGUGCCCGGGCAUCACCCUGUCUCAACCUGACAACACCCACAGUCUUUCUUCCACCCUCCAUCUCUGUCACCCCCUCCCGGCCUUGGAAAGCAGCGCAUGAGCACUAAUAGUGCCAAAGCCGCCUCUGCUGGGCCCUGGGCAUAGCAUAUGGACCCUUGUCACCCUGACAGCAGCCCCGUGAGGAGGGUACACGUCUCAGCCCCGUUUCUGCCAGAGUAGACAGGAAGCUCCCACAGAGCAGAGGCGGAGGGGGACUCCACCCUGAUCUGCAUCGCAUCAGAGUUCGUGCUUUCUGCCAUUGCGGGUGGCGGCUGCGUUUCUGCAUUUCCCACCAGAGCGGCUCAACGAGGCCUCCAGAGAGCUUUGGAGGUUUACCCCAUCCAGCCAACGUCACAUCUCCUGUUCCUCCUGCGGAAGGCGUACAGACAGUGCCAGUACUCAAUGGUUUGUUAUCACGGAAAGGCUGACUGUUUUACCUGGAAUUUGACUGCCUGCUAUGGCUAACCUAUAAACCAGCCUCCCUCUCUUCCUUUCGUGGAAAAUUUGUGUUGAUUAUAAAGGAGAAAAAAGAUAGACUCUGCGCUGAGAAGCCCUGUCAUCUGAAAAUGGAAACCUCACCAACACAAAAUAUAUCAGAAGAAUCUGACAAAUGCCAAGGACUUUGCCUGCGCUAGAUCUGGUCCGGAGACUGUCCCAGGCUGCUCGGAGUGGCGGAAGCAAAAUUUGCCACAUCUCCAGAAGCCCCUCGGAGGUCAGGUUUAAGGUGAGGGUGUCCUUGAGUAAAGGUCAGAUAGGUUUCUUUUUUUCUCAAUUGUUUAGUAAACUUUUUUUUUCCCUAAUUAAAAAAUAAAUGCAGAA